rnacentral:sRNA from 1 species
GCAUACGGCGACGAAUGUUCGUAGGUCCCAUUGCGAGUGCGUCCAACGGAUUACACUACUGCUCCUUGAGAAGUGAUAGCCCAGAAGUUGCGCGAUACGGAACCUGAUCGACUCGACGAUAUAUAUACGAUUUAUCUAUAUAACCUUACGAGUACGGACUCUACUCCCAUUCUGGAGAUAACGAUAUCGACCUUGCCAAAGGCCAGCUAUCGCACACAACUACAAAGGACGUCGUCACCUUGAAGAUGAUCUCAGACGAACAACUCUAUCAACUCGCCAUGUUCCUUGGCUCCUGCGCCAUGCUCCUCAUCGUCCUCUACCAUUACCUCGAAGUCAACGCCAAAGACUCUUCUACAACCUCCUCCACUUCCUCCCACAGCUCCUCUGUACAAUCCCACGCGUCGACAAUUUCGUCGAAGAAUUCCAUUUCCACUACACCAAUUAACCGAGAUGCGGCUGGUUGAGGGUUAUUAGGUAGGAGAAAGUAGAUGGGAAACUCGGGAAACCGGAGAUGGCGAGCAUUUGUUGAUUGGGUUUGAUAGGAUCGGAUCAUAUGGUCUCCCGGGUGGUGGAAGUGCGGCUUGCUUCCAGAAAUACCUACUUCACAUGUACAAAAUGUAUUAAUUGGCAUUAUUGUCGUCAGCCUUUUUCUUUUUCUCCCUCUCGCUCUCUCGCUUCUCCUUCUUCUUCUUCUUUUUUUUUUUUUUGUUGUUGUUGUUGUUCUUCUAAGCUACGAUUGACCUUUCUAUCGCGAAACCUGACAAUCUAACUUGAAAGCCAUUCGCAUUGUUGGCGGGUAUCUUUCGCAUGUAUACCGAUCCUGAAUGUACGUACAUGUGACUAGCUUCGGAAACUCCCCACGCCGAGCUAUAUAAGUACUGAGUACAAGCAAAAGACAAUAUGAUUUCUUAAAAAAAUCCACAUGCAUUUCCCAAACCCAUUGCUGGAAAUAUAUAGUAAAUAUUAGGUAGGCCGAAAGGAAAGGAGCAAAACUAGAAAAUUACCAUUCCGUAAAAAAUUUUCGUAUACUGAGACACGUAAAUUCUAAAGACCAUCCUUGUCUUCAGGGACGAUCUCAAAAACGCUCUCAAACGCCACAACCGUCUCCUGUCUCUUUUCAUUCAUAAAUGUACAUCCGCCGCGGCCCAACCCCGUUCCUACCCUUACUUGUUUCAUCUCCAGCGCCCGCAAUACCUCCAGCGCUUUGGCCUUGUGGCUCUCGUUUCCAUACAUCUUGUUGAAGCAUCGGAUCGACCUGUAUGCGGCGGGGAGAAUCAAGGUAGGUCGUGUGCCUUUCGCGCUUGCCCUGGCGACCACGGCGCGUCCAUUGCUGUCAUUCAGGUAGUCGGCGAUAUUGUAAUCUCGAUGACCUAGAAGUGGAGAACAGAGGGAAAAGAAAAUGAGAAAUUCCUGGUUUGUUAUACGAGGGUCUUUUGGUAUGUCUUUUCUUCGUCUCUCGUCUUGUUUAAGGAACAACAAUUGGGUCGCUGAGUAGUUUUCCAGUCUCACCAGAUCUUACAGACCCUGGCCCUUCCCCCAGGGUCCAUGCGAGGGCGCUUAAAUGUUCAUUCUCCACAUGAUCUGCCAGCCUCCUACUUCCAAACAUAAUCCCGCGACCACUACAACCAGCCCAUAAGCAAGAAGCCUCCAUCCCAUUGUUUUUGGGGAUAUGGAGGCGGGUGACGUGCUUUCGGAGCGUUUGGAGGUUGUGAAGUUCGGCAUCGCAGUUUUGCCACUGGCAUUUGUACGUAUGAAAUGGAGUUUGAAGCGUUUUUGGCGAUGAACUUGUCGGAAUGGUGAUCUCAACUCGGUCUGCGAAUCGAGGUUUAUUCUUCGCGACUGCUGAUCGUCCGCGUCGGCGAGACAAUGGAAUGUGAGAUGAACUCAUCACGGAGAUUUUAGUUCUGCUGUCGAUAUUGCUUUUUUGCUGAAUGUGAGGUGGCGAGUUAUCACUGUUGGCUGUUUGACAGGUGUGUAGUCGUGAAGGAGUAUGACUAACGCCUUUUGUCGAGUCACGUGGUAAUAUCUUAGGUAAGCGGCCGAUGUCGGAUCUGGACUUUGCAUGCUUGCGGAUAGUGAAAAGGGGAGGUCUGGAGGUGGCAGAAACAAGCGGGGCUUCAGGUGGUGGCGGCCCUCCGGGAUCGACAAUGUCCCACCGGAACGUGCACAAAUCAGAUGAGUUAUCUACAGCAGAAAAAUUAUCUCGCAGUUUCGAAAGAUGUUGGUUCAAUGGACACUCUGUUGGGUGGCGACCGGUUGCGAUCAAGAGACUUCUCGCAAUGCUCUUCGGGUCGUAGUAGCGCGUUUUCAAAGCCUCCGUCUUGUUGAGAGGCUUGACGAUAUCGCCACGCUUCCGUAGCAUUUCAUUUCUGGUAGAAACAUCGGCAUCUGGCAUUUUAAAUUGGGACAAAUCGGGCGUCUUCGCCUGUGUUCCAGGCGUCCCAGCCGUUUCCGAUGCCAAUGCUGGUACUUCUUCAACAUUCACUUCCACAUUUGCUUCACUUUGGGUCGGUAUGUCCUCUAAGCGCGAUGCUUUUGACGGGUGGGGUGAAUCAUUUUCAUCACUUGAAAGUUGUGUAAAAUCCACAAUCUCUGCAAACGUUCGCUUUUUAGCGAGUGCCUCCUUGGAACCAGGAGCAGGCACCUGCGCAGGUGGUACAGGAACGUGGAGCUUGGAUUUCAGUUUGUUUCCAACCAGAACCGGGUCGCCUCUGCUGUGUCGAAACGACGGCUGGCUUUUGCGGUAAUAUGGCUCUGCGUACCCAGGAGCUUGGAAUCCCAUUGAAAAGGUUCCUGAAGGUGGUGGAGGACUUAUAAAACCGGGGACCUGAUUUCCUGGCGGGACUGACACCGGAGGUUGUUGCUGCCUGAAAUAUAGAGGAGAUCUGUUGGCCGGUGGUGGUAUGGGUGUCAAUGAUGGAGCUGGCAGCUCCACUUUGUUCCCCACAGCCUGAGUGCCAGGCUCUGGCGGCGAUAUGGAUACUGGAGUAAUGGGAACAGGAUCAUCUCUUGGGGCAACUCUGGUAUCUUGAGCUGGUGGAGGAAUGGGUAUUGCAGCUGGGAGAGGUUGGAUUUGCGCUUUCCUAGCAGUGGAAGAUGGCCCAUUCGCUGCCCGGUUCGGACGAGCAGUAACACUGGAACUUGUCGUUAGUUCUGGCAUAGCGUUGAGUAAAUGUUUCGCGAAAUGAACGCGAUUCAAGACAUAGCCCCGAGAUUCCAACAUUCCGCACAGCUCAAUAUAGCUUGGAUUCUGAUCUAUCAGAGAUAAUACCAUCUCUGGAGGACAUUUCUUGCCCUGGUUGCGAUUACUAAGGACGUCAUCGAUAUAUCUUGAGGCCGCUUGGGCGAGGGCUAAUCGCUUCGGCUCAGGCCAGAUCGUAGCAACCUUACGGGUUUCUUCCUUUGUUUGCCUAGUUUCAGGUUCAGGUGCAGGUUCCGGUGCAGGUUCAGGUGCAGGUUCAGGUGCAGGCUCAGGUGCAGGUUCCGGUGCAGGUUCCGGUGCAGGCUCAGGAGCAAGUUCGGUGGUUGGCGUUGCAGCUUGAGCUGAGGCUGGAAAUGAUGCAGAUUGUGAUUUAUUAGUAUCUAUCAACUUUUCAAUUCCCAUAGCCGAGUCCGUUCGGGGAGCCCGGCCUCCAUUAUGGGUUUCGGGCUGUGAAGAAGGAGCUGGGGCGGGCUGUUGUGUAUCAUGUC